UGAAGAUGCAGUGUACCCGCGGCAAGACGGAAAGACCCCGUGAACCUUUACUAUAGCUUGACACUGAACAUUGAGCCUUGAUGUGUAGGAUAGGUGGGAGGCUUUGAAGUGUGGACGCCAGUCUGCAUGGAGCCGACCUUGAAAUACCACCCUUUAAUGUUUGAUGUUCUAACGUGGACCCGUAAUCCGGGUUGCGGACAGUGUCUGGUGGGUAGUUUGACUGGGGCGGUCUCCUCCUAAAGAGUAACGGAGGAGCACGAAGGUUGGCUAAUCCUGGUCGGACAUCAGGAGGUUAGUGCAAUGGCAUAAGCCAGCUUGACUGCGAGCGUGACGGCGCGAGCAGGUGCGAAAGCAGGUCAUAGUGAUCCGGUGGUUCUGAAUGGAAGGGCCAUCGCUCAACGGAUAAAAGGUACUCCGGGGAUAACAGGCUGAUACCGCCCAAGAGUUCAUAUCGACGGCGGUGUUUGGCACCUCGAUGUCGGCUCAUCACAUCCUGGGGCUGAAGUAGGUCCCAAGGGUAUGGCUGUUCGCCAUUUAAAGUGGUACGCGAGCUGGGUUUAGAACGUCGUGAGACAGUUCGGUCCCUAUCUGCCGUGGGCGCUGGAGAACUGAGGGGGGCUGCUCCUAGUACGAGAGGACCGGAGUGGACGCAUCACUGGUGUUCGGGUUGUCAUGCCAAUGGCACUGCCCGGUAGCUAAAUGCGGAAGAGAUAAGUGCUGAAAGCAUCUAAGCACGAAACUUGCCCCGA
rnacentral:rRNA from 1 species